AUUAUUAUAUCAUUCCCAAUUUUAUGUGAAAUUACCAAAAUGGCCCUAACCCUAAUUUUUGAAAAAAAAAAUGAAACCCUAAUCCUUCCCAAACCUAGCCGCCGCAACCCUUUCCCCCAAAUCAGGCAGCAGCCUCAUCCUCCCUCAGCCUAGCAACACACACACACUCAAGAGCUGCAGCAGUAGCCUCCAACCCCUUUCUUCCCCCCAAAAUGCAAACACACACAUACAAAUCAGGGGGAGGACGUCUGAGAGCGCUGAGGGAAAGAGAGGGAGCUUCACUGCGCCGUCGUGUUGCCGUUGUAGGAGAGGAAGUUGCGACCCAUUACCACGUGAUGGAGGAGAGAACGCGCGCGCAGGGGGAGGAAGGCGCCAGCCCUGUCGCGCCGCCUCUGUUGUCUGUGCUACCGUCGUCGUCCAAGCUCGUCACCGCCAAUUGCGUCGUCGCCGCCUCUGCCCAACGCCACCGCAGAUGAUGGGUCAUCGAGAACUGCCACCGUUGCUGCCGUCUUUGUGGGGCUUGAUUGUCGUGGUCGCUCCUCACUGCGAAGCCUGUUGCGAGCGCCGCUAUCAGCAUCGUGCUCCUUGGUUCUGUCGAGGAGCCACUGUGACUGCCUCCUUCUCUGCCGCCGAGGUCCUCCGCCGCUGGGUACAGAGAAGAGCAGCGCCGCGUGAAUCAAGGAAAGGAGAUGCCUUUCUGCCUCUGCUCCUGGGUUUUGGAAUCCGACUAAAUGCCGCUGCCGCUGUUGGAGUUUAUGUUGCUCUGGCCUUGCCCUGGCUCCAUCUUGAACCGUGAGAAUCGCUACUACUGGUAAGUGACGUUGUCGCUGCCUUUACUGGAGAUAGUUGAUGGCUCUGUUUGUAGAUUUCUGUUGCAACUAAUGUUCAUUUUGGGGACAGCUUCAUCUGCUGCUGGAACCACUAACGUAACAGACUGAGUCACGGUGAUUCUGGCUGCCAAGGGCGAUUCUGUGACUGUCAGAACCACCGUUGAGGCUUCUGUUCUUUGGUUCAGACGUUAUUCUUUAGCUACAGAUUAAGUUAUCGGAGCCAUAUGUUGCGCGCAAGGGUUGUCCUUGCUGCUGCGAGGGUAAACAAAGCUGUGAUGUAAGCUGCCGAUAAAUUCAGGUUGAUUGAGAGUUUCGGUGACGCGUUUGGAUUAUGAAUUUGUGUUUUGAGGUAGGGGCGCUUUCCAAAAACUAUAGUUUACUAUUGGAAUUAUUACAUAUGGAUACUGAUGUGAGAUAUUGUGUAUUUAGUGAUUGUAUCUGCCUUAUGUAUUAUUUGAUUGACUCGAAUGAUUAUGGAUGUUGGUUUGGCUGAAUUUGUUGUGCGGCUUGUGAAAUGUAAUGUUUGAAGUUGAUUCUUUAAAGUUCUGAAUCUGAGUUUAAUCCGUUGAGGAUUGAUUUGAUUUGAGCCAAUUAUUUUAAUGAUGUGGAAAGUCGAAUGCACUUUUGAAUUCAACUUGGUUUAUUUUAAUUGAUUUGGUUUUGGACAAAUGAUUUGUUAUUGAACCAUUUCUUUAAAGCUUUGGAAAUGAGUUAUAUUGAUUGAUAUUGAGUUGAUUUUGAAAUGAUUUCCUUGAGAUACGCCACUGAGGCGAUUGUUGGAUUUAGCUUGCUUUAAAUUGAUUUCUGGUUUUGAGCUGUUGAAAAGGAAUGAGAAAUGGUUUAGUUGGGACCCGAACCGGGUGGCAAAAGUCCAAGUUUUAGGGGAGGUGCUGCCGAAAUUUUUGCAAAAUCCUAGUCUUGUUUGAAAAGUUAUUUAAAAAUGGUUGGAUUUGAGAAAUUGUAUUAUUUGAUUUAUUAAGAGGAUAUUUAUGUUUUCAAGCUUAAUUUAUUUAAUGAACCUUAUACGUUGAGUUCGGCUUAUUUAGAACUGAACUAUUUUUACCGUUUGAAUUACUGAAGGAAAGAAUGAUGCUCUAAUAUUGAUUUUAAUAUAAAAAGGAGUUUUUAGUGAUUUUAAAGGAAUCUAGACUUUUGAUUGAGUAACUAAGUUUGAGGCAUUUUGGAAGAGUUAGAAAAAUGGGUUCUAAAAAGAAACCUGAAAGUGGUUUGAUUCAAAUGAACCGGUUCCGUUUCAAAUGAGUUGAUUUUUGGACCGGGUUGGAACUUGUGAUUUUGUAUGGCCGGUUUUAUAGUAAAUUCAGUUUUAUUUACUUGAACCGAGAAAUCUAUGAUUUUAAGAGUUUCAAUGAAUUUUAAGGAAUUGAUAUAGGUUGACCUUCCCUAAAGACUUGGGACUCUGCCGAGAAACUUUUGUUAUAAAAUCCCAUUGUUGGAUGGGUGAUUUUGAAUGCUUUGAAAUAAAUCCUUAACUUGCCAUGGUUUUGGAAGUUUUGGAAAGAGAAUGCCGAGAGUGGCUUUGUUUUAAAAAGGGAACUCACUUUGAGUAAAAUUUGGCUUAUGAGCCUGAGAUGAUUUGAGAAAUGAGAUCCUUUAAAGCCAAGGCUGAAAAGAGUUGAAAUUUGAUUUCAAAGUGAAAUGGCUUGAGAAAAGUGAUUUAUGGCUUAAAUGCCGGUUUUAUGAAUUUGAUGAUGUUGGAUGAUGGAAGUAAUGUUUUUGUUAUGGGCCAGAAUGGCUGUGUAUGAUUAUGAAUAUUGGUUGGUUCUGGAUUGAACCGUGAGCCGGAUGGCUGAGAUGGAUGGUGAUCCAUGAUUGAAUAUAAAUGCAUGUAUGCAAUUGAAUGAUUUGUGAAUUUAAGCCGAAUGGCUGAGAUGAAAGUUGUAAGCGAGUAUGCUUGUGUUUUCUCUCUGAUUGUAAGGGUGACAGGGCACCGAUACCCUCUAAUGGCGACAGGGCGCAUAUACCCUCUAAUGGCGACAGGGCGCAGAUACCCUCUAAUGAUAAUAAUGCGCAACAGAGAGACUGUAUCCGGGUUAGCUACCGGACACGUCGGGUUGGCUUGGUAACCGACAGAUGAUAUCAUCAGCCACUAGGGACAGACAUGCAUCAUAUGCAUCUAUGUGACAUUGUUUGGGUAUGCAUAUUGUACUUGGUUUGUCUAUGUGAUUAACUGCUAAUUGUUCUACUUGCAAUAACUGUUUGUUUGUGUUUGCAUCUUCCUACUUGUGUUUGCAUCUGGAACUCUGUUGGAUUGUGGUGGAUUGGUUGUGGUUGGAUUGUUUGGGCCUAGGGCCGUGGUUGAAUGAGAUGGACCGAUGGUUGAUUUCGGUUUUGUGGUUCUGGUUUGGAAUAAAAUAUGAAAGGUUAUUUUGGUUCAGUAUAGAUAAACCUUUUUGAAAUGCUUUGAUGUUUUGAGAAUUGAACGGUUCCUCUUUCAGAAAAGAUUUCUGACUUUACUUUUAUUGUAAACUGUUGUUUUUGAAAAGAAGCAUAAGAUGGUUAUUAAUCACUGGUACGGUUUAUCUUCAUGUAUCCUAUUACAGUAAUUCCCAAAAACCCCCUACUGAGAACCCUUUCGAGGAUGAUGUUCUCACCCCUUACAUUUUUCCCCUUUCAGGAUAUAGGCGCAGAAGUUACGAAGAAUUUAUUUAGUUAUUGUUGUGAUGCUCUGUAUGGCCUUAGUUAUUAUUUAUUGUACCCUCGCCUUUAACUUGAUAUAUUCUGUAAGAGGGAUAGGAAUUGUAUUGGUUACUAUUUGUAAUAUUAUUUAUAUAUAUGUAUGUAUAUAUAUAUGGAUGUACUCUUUAUGAGUCUCUAUAAGUUGUAUGGUAUGUAUGGAUAUUCGUUGUAUAGUAAAAGUAUUUUUGGGAGCGGUAAUGCGGUUUAAAGUUUUAAACAGGCUCAUAUUUUAGUAUUAAAUAGUAUAAGUGUCGUCGUAAUGUCCGAGCUAUCAGAGUUGCGCAGCCGGAAGCGUGAGCUUUGGUAGUUAGGGUGUUACAUUAUGGUAUCAGAGCAGUUCUUCCUGUAGAGCCUGAGGAAUGGACUGACUAUGCUUCAAUUGCAUACUCUGAGCGUUUGUCAUGUAUUAGGUCUUGUCGAAUGACGAGAAUUAGAGCUUUAUGCACAUGACGAUCUAUUGAUUAACGUUGUUAGUCUUGCAUUACAUAAUUCUUGGUAUUAAGUUUGGUCGGCUUAAUACUAGUGAAUUAUGUAUAUGAAAGCACUGAUGGGUUAUCAUAGAUAAAAUGCGAGUUUUGAGUAAAGCGAAUUGCGGGUUUUGGGAGCGUUAAAAACUAUUUCUCGAGGCUAUUCAGUUGUGUGUCUUGAGUCCUAUUUGAGUCGACCUGUUCUUUCAUAUCCUAACUUGAAGUUCUUGUUUACUAACCCUCUUGAAAAGUAGUUUGAUUUUCUCAUCUCUAUUCCUCUAUUCAUAUGCCUUCUUGAUUGAUCUUAAUUGCAUAUGCUUGUUUGGAAUCCUUGUUGCAUCUGUCUUCCUCAGUUUGAGUUCUUCUUGAUUCACGUAUUCUUUGAUAUAGCUUUGAACUUGUCUUGACGUGCUGUGACUUUUAACUCCAGGUUCCGAAUUCAUUCUUAAAGAACUUGUUGAUUCUGUUUUCCUCUUAUUUGACAAUGAUUACAGCUAAUUUUGAAAUUUUCACAAAAGUUGCUGUUGAUUUGAUAUAUACUUAUCUACACAUGUGGAACUUGAAGAUUUCUUAUACAGUUUAAUGAUUAUUUAUUUCUAAUACACCGCCUGUGUUUUUACUGGUUUACGGAACUACAUUUACUUUAAAAUUCAAUUUGACUUUCUAGUAAUUUUACUACGGUUCCAACACACAUCUUCAUUUGAUUAGGUAUUUGGAUAUUUUUCAGAAUUUUGGAAAGGAAAGCUUUUUCACUUUUAUCCCAGUUGAGUCUCGUUUGAUAAGCUUUACUUAACUUAUUUUGAAUUGAGUUUGAUUUAGCAUGCUAUAUGAUUUAUGCCAUUGUUGUUCUUUUGAGAGUGUUUGACUCAUAGCUUUCUUCCUAUGAACGGACUAAAUUCUCUACUAAACCUUCCAUCUAUAUGAAUAUCAUACUUGACGUUAUUUUUAACUAAUCUUUUACAAUUUGUGAACAUUAUCAUUGAUCUUGGUUUAUCCAAUCUUGUGAAUCUCAUUCUUAUGUGAGUUAGUUUGAUUCGUUUCAAAAUAGUGCACCAUUUAUAUAUCCUCUCAUUAUCUUUACAAAAAUUUUUAGUCGAAGAUUUAUCCUUGAGAAAUUACUAAUGAUUGAGUUGUCUUUUCCUACGACUUUUCUUUUGGGUCAAUUGGAAGCUUGUUGGAUGUUUCACGACUAGUGAAUCUUGUUUGAACUACCUUGAUUUAAAACCCUCUCUUGCAUGACUUGACUCUUUUUAAGUACAUCCUAAUUUUCUUGAAUAUCCUUCUGAGAUGGUGAUUUCAAGUAUACUUUGGAUUCUUGUUUCGGGCUUUUUGAACUUUUGAAUUCUCUUUGAAAAGGUUCUAAACUGAAUUUAUUUUUCUGUUGCUUGAUUGAAAUUGAAGCCAUUGUUCAAUUUUGACAAAGAUGAUUUAAAGUUGACAUGUGCUAUUUUAAAUGAAGUUUUGAGAAGCUUCCUUGGUUAGUGGAAACAUGUCCGUUUGUAACACACUACUUGUUUCCUUUACCAGAUUGUAAGCGAAUUUUUACCUUGGAAUUUCUUUUCUAAAAAGAGUUUAACUCCUCUUUUGUCCUUGCUAUAAAUGUUAUACACGCUUGUUUGAAUAUGGACUUUGAUGAUUUUUUUAACAAACAUUUGAUUCUUCUUCCGAGUUUUAUGAAUUGCUUUUGGUUAAGUUGUGCUUCUAAUUACCUUUCUAACAUAUCUGGGAAAAUAUUUUAGCUCUUAGCCAAACUGGUGUGCAUUUUGUUUUCAAAAUUUUGCAUGAUCUGCUUCAACCUAAAAUUGUAUUACAGCAAGCCACGUUAUUGCUUUUGUUAUUCGCUUGGAGAAUGUUUGUUACUUAACUUUUCUUCUAAAUUGCGAAGUGAUUUUUGCAAGUUUUCGAUUCUUUUGUGAACAAUGCAUUCGGAAGUAUUUUAAUCAUGCUCUUGAGUUAUGUGAGCUUUGUCUUGGGUUUAAAAUCUUCUCUUCUGCAAACCUCAUGCUUCUUCGGCUCAGCUUGAAAUUAUUUCAAACUGAUGCACUGAUUUUUCUGCUUAUUGGUCUUGUUGAAUUUCUUUGAUCCAAGGGUCAUCUUUGAGGUUGUCAGUUGAUUUAUUUCUAGCAAACUUCAUUUGCUUGAUCAUCCUUGUUGUCUGGGAUUGGAUACAUUCCCUCGGAUCUAUGAGUACUAUCCUUGACAUUUGACUCUCCUUUCUAAAUCUUGUAUCCUUCUGAGUAAACUCGAGAAUUAUUUUGAUAUCACGUGCGACUUGUAGACGUAGUAACGCGAUGCGUUAGUUCUUUAGGACGUGAUAUAUGUAUACGAAAGGUGAAGCGGUAGGUGUGCAACGUUGAGUUGUGGGUGAUUUAUUUCUUGCGAGCGGGUUUGCGAUCGUUAGGCUAAUGAUCGAAUUUGGGGUUUGUAAAGUGCUUGAUGGAGUUGGAAAGUUGAGACUUGAGGUUGAUAUGAGAUUAGUGUGCGGAGGUUAAGCACGUCGUUUUAACUCCAUCCUGUUUUAUAGCCUUUAAUGCUUUGCCCUUCUAUCACAUGAUUGACCCAUGUUAACUUUUGUAUUGAGCCUACCUUGUAACGUUUGCUUUGCAAUCACACUCCUACCUUUACAUCCUUAUGCUUAUGACAAUCAAAGUAUUUGAAAAUCGUAUAUAUGAUUAUAUUUUGAGAUAUUUUUGCUUCUUUCUUAAAUGUGUUCAAGGGUGAACUGUUAUGGAAUUUCUUUCAUUUUGUAACAAUUUUCGAGGGCGAAAAUUUUUAUAAGGUGGGUAGAAUGUAAGACCCAGAAUAUUUGAAAAGUCUUAUUAUGAUCAAGUCUCAAAUCCUACAGUUAU